CGCACGAGAACGCUUCAGCUUGCUGAAGCUAGUAAAGUGGCGCACGGGUGAGUAACGCGUGGGUAACCUACUCCAAAUUGGGGAUAACAUUGCGAAAGCGAUGCUAAUACCGAAUAAUAUCUCAAAAACUUCGGGUUUUUUGAGAUCAAAGGUGGCCGCUCCAUGGAAGCUACUGUUAGGAGAUGAGCCCGCGUACCAUUAGCUUGUUGGUAGGGUAAUGGCCUACCAAGGCAACGAUGGUUAGCUGGUCUGAGAGGAUGAUCAGCCACACUGGAACUGACACACGGUCCAGACUCUUACGGGAGGCAGCAGUGAGGAAUUUUGCGCAAUGGGGGAAAACCCUGACGCAGCAACGCCGCGUGAGUGAUGAAGGCCUUCGGGUCGUAAAGCUCUGUCAAGUGGGAAGAACCUGCCCUGUGCUAAUAUCACCGGGCACUGACGGUACCACUGAAGGAAGCACCGGCUAACUCCGUG
rnacentral:rRNA from 1 species